CCAAAAGGACAUAGAUGGAAGUAGUGAGAAAAGAUAUAGGGAUUUAUCAAUUGCCAGAAACAAUUUCUCAACCAUCUAUUUGAUUACAUUAAGAACCAUAUGUCAACUGCCGGAAACAAUUUUACUCACUUCAAAUCAUUUAUAACCCACCUAUAGAUAAAUGACAAGCAGCAUUAGAAACUCAUUAUCUAUAGUAUCGAAAAGAUUUUAGCAUUUCCAUGAGCUCAGAAUGGAUAAUAGAGACUCCAAGAAAAGAAGCUCAGUUUAUGCUUCCAUAGUAACAAUUGCAAAUGCCUACAAGAAGUUCAUUUUGCAUGUUUCUUCAAAAUUACCAAGUUCUAUAAAUUGCAGAAUUAACAUAAUUUUUUGUGCCCAGAACUUCAAUUCCGCCUUCUGUAACUUCCUUCUCAGCCUGUAACAGGUUAAUACAUUGAGAAUCCAAUGAACAAAGAGAAUCGUCUCUAGGCAUAGUUGUUUGGGGUGGCGGUUCCACAACAUAACAUAAAAAAUUCCAUUCUCACCAGGUCUCAACUUAAAACAUUAAAAAAAGACAAAGAAGGAGAAAGAAUACAAAAACCAAAACAAGAAAACUCUAUUAAUCCUAUCCCAUCAUAUGGUUGAAGUUGAUUCUGCAGCUUCACUUUUUGCCUUGCUCCCUCUUACCUGUACCAUGAGCACCCCAGCAUGAAUAAAGUAAAUCCAAUAGGAGUAAGGGCCACAUUGAAAUACUAUGUUCCUUAUUGUCUAAACUCUAAAGUGCUUGCAAGGCCUUAAUUAGCAGUCACACAUUAACAUGCCAGGUUCCUAAUUAGCAGAAGGCUUAAUUGUAUCUUUCAAAACCUCCAAUUCUUCACCCCUAUAAUGCAAUUUUAAAUGCCAAUAGACCUCCAAUUCUUCACCCCUAUAAUGCAAUUUUAAAUGCCAAUAGACCUCCAAUUCUUCACCCCUAUAAUGCAAUUUUAAAUGCCAAUAGACCUCCAAUUCUUCACCCCUAUAAUGCAAUUUUAAAUGCCAAUAGACCUCCAAUUCUUCACCCCUAUAAUGCCAUUUUAAAUGCCAAUAGGGUUUAACCAUCCACUAAAAUUCACGAAACCAUAAAGAGGUUUACCCUAUUAGCAUCAUGUUUUCUGCUGUCCCAAGAGCAUAUUUCUACAAUGUUGGAAAAGCAGUCCCAAGAGCAUCUACAAUGUUGGGAAAGCAGUGAAUAUUUAUUCAAGAAGUUCGGCUAAAGUUCUUGAGAUAAACGAAUUGGAAAAAAAAGCUCAUCCUUGUAUGAGAUCAAUGGCUGUCAUAACCAAUUAAAUAAGCUGAGAACAUUUGCGUGAUUUGUUCCAAGUCCCUGGUAGAAUCUUUUAUUCCUUCUCUUCGUGAACCUUCUGAUGACAAACAGUAUGCGUGGGAAGAUGUAAUUUGACAGUGAUGGAGUUCAUUGUAAGAAAAACUAAAAGAAAAGACACUAACCUAACAACAAAAUAAGACACCUAGAGGGAGGUAGGGAGGGAGUCCCGAAAGGUUAUCUGUUGAUUGAAUACCAACCUCCAAUUCCUUUUCUUCCAUCUGUUCCUCCAUUGGUCAGUGACGGAAAGGAUUGAUUUUGUAAUAUAACUAUUUUCUUGGAAGUUAUCUUUAAUCUUAUCUGAAAAAGUGUGUGAUUUAGCUCUGAAAUCUACUGAUUGGACGAAUAGCUGCAUCGCAUUGAGUUAGACGCUGAAAUUGAUUAGACUCUUAUUAGGUUUGAAUUAACAGGUCUUGAUUGUGUGGCUGUUGGAGUUGGAAUGAGAGUUUUGUGAGAAUUUUGUGGAGUAUAUAUGAGAAUAUAUAUGUUCAAGAGAAAAAUUUAAAUGAAUAAUGGAUAAUUCUAGUAUUCAUGUGUCAGAAUUGCUAACACUGAUUUUAUAAUUCUAUCCUAUCCUUCAGGAAGAUGACUUGCCAUACUCCCUUUAUACGCAGGCUUCCUGCCUUCUGGGGGGCUACAUCAAUGCAGUAGCAGGAAAAGUUAUGAUGAGCUGUAUUCUGGAAAACUAAUUUAAUUUAAAGGCUGAAUAUACACUAAUGAACUACUUUACAGGAGUCUCCUUAUUCUGAAAUUUCUAUUAUGCUGAAGGGCUAAAUUGUUGCAAUCAUACCAUAUGAUCUGAUAUUACCAUUUUUGUAGCAUGUUCUUCAAAAGAUAAUACUUAAAAUUUGUUUUGCUUGCUUGUCUGUUAAUUACAAAUAUGCUUUCAUGUACUUUGUAAUAGAAUGAUUCUUGAACUUCUUCCUUUGUGUUAUAUUACAAUCACGUGCAACGCACGUGCCCUUGCUUGUAAACUAACAAGGCAUUUUUUGACUGACUAUUGUG
rnacentral:lncRNA from 1 species